CCUACGGGAGGCAGCAGUGAGGAAUAUUGGUCAAUGGUCGGGAGACUGAACCAGCCAAGCCGCGUGAAGGAGGAUGGUCCAGAGGAUCGUAAACUUCUUUUGUCGGGGAAUAAAGCCUACGACGCGUCACCUGCUGUUUGUACCUGAUGACAAAGCAUCGGCUAACUCCGUGCCAGCAGCCGCGGUAAUACGGAGGAUCCGAGCGUUAUCCGGAUUUAUGGGGUUUAAAGGGGGCGCGGGCGGUCUGUUAAGUCAGUGGGAAAAGAGCGCGGCUAAACCGCGCACCGCCGUUGAAACUGGAAGUCUUGAGUUCAGGAGAGGUAGGCGGAAUUCGCGGUGUAGCGGUGAAAUGCAUAGAUAUCGCGAAGAACUCCGAUUGCGAAGGCAGCAUGCCGGCUUGCCACUGACGCUGAGGCUCGAAGGUGUGGGUAUCAAACAGGAUUAGAUACCCUGGUAGUC
rnacentral:rRNA from 1 species